UACGUAGGGUGCGAGCGUUGUCCGGAAUUAUUGGGCGUAAAGGGCUCGUAGGCGGUUUGUCGCGUCGGGAGUGAAAUCAUCUGGCUUAACUGGGUGCUUGCUUUCGAUACGGGCAGACUAGAGGUAUGCAGGGGAGAACGGAAUUCCUGGUGUAGCGGUGGAAUGCGCAGAUAUCAGGAGGAACACCGGUGGCGAAGGCGGUUCUCUGGGAAUAUCCUGACGCUGAGGAGCGAAAGUGUGGGGAGGCGAACAGG
rnacentral:rRNA from 1 species